rnacentral:tRNA from 1 species
GCCCGGAUGGCGGAAUGGUAGACGCCGCGGCCUUAAAAGCCGCUGUUCUUCGGGACGUGCGGGUUCGAGUCCCGCUCCGGGCA